CUGUGGUAAUGUAGACUUGAAACACAUUAUAGACUUGAAAUGGCUACAUUGGGUAUAUUUGUUUCAGGGUCUGUAUGACAGACUAAGGUGUGCCCAUAGUGAGCUUAUGUUUCAUGUGAACCUCUCUCUGUUGCCUUUAUGUUUUUGCUGCAUACGUAUAUGUGCAAAGAAUGCACCUAAAUGGCUGAUUUGCCCCUGAAAGAUAUUUUCAAGUUAAUUGGAGCUUGUCAAGAUAUACAGUCCCCUGCGCUAGUGAAAGGUUGCCACAAGGUUGUCAAAAGUAGACAAACUCAACAGAACACGCAUACGAGUUGAUCUGCCUGUGUCUGGAGUUCCAUACCAGCAGAAAACACACCAGGAGGAAUACACAAAUCAGAAUCCAGUGCCGCGAAAUCAAGAUCCACAAUGCUGAAGCAGGCAGGACUUAAUUGUCUCUGUUGAUGGUGGUGGCUAUGGCUGAUGAAACCGAGUCCUCACACCCUCACAUUGCAGCUGAACGUUUCUUUGACUCAGGUCGAAGCUCAGCUUCAGGCGGAACGGAGUCGAGAAAGUGUCUUUUCGGAAUCAGUUUGUGUAUUCUACCAAUGACAACAUCACGUACCGACUUAACCCACUCUGAAGGACAUUCAGGAAUGACAAUUCAGGAAGACAAGGAAUAAAUAAAUAAUAAUAUCAUAACAAAAGCAGGUCGAACCGUGAGAGACUCCAUUGAGAUCACAUGCCCAGUAACGAAAUCAUGAAUGUUUUGUACAGAUCCCUUCAACACUCAUUGCAUUAUAUAGUUACGAGGAUGUGUCUUUUGUAAUUAUAGUGUCACAUUGGUUAA